UGGUCCACACAGCAGGCAAGUGUGGUAACUGGCUUAGCAGCGGGGGCAGGUACGCCCCACCCAGAGCUGGGAGUAAGGUAUGCCCUCAGCGCUGGAAGGCUGGAGCAAAGAGCUGCUCAGCACAGCUCUCUUCAGGCGGUCCUCGGUAGUUCAAAGCCUAUUUCCGGAGAUCUGCACACCACAGAGGUCUCCCUUGUUGGGGAGCAGGGAAGACCAUUCAUUUAGGGAGGGGUCGAAACCUCAGAACUAAGGGCCUCACCCACUCUCUCACUCGUGCUGUCCUUUGUUCGGCUGGCCCAACGGUUUUUUUAAAUUUGAAUUUGAACGGCUGAGGGCAGAGCCUGCAGUUCCCCCCUAGCCCCCGCCCCUGUUGUCUUACACCCAAUAUUUAACUUUCUGUCCUCUGUCUGACCCCUGGAGCAUUCUGGGUUGUGGCCCUGGUAGAACCUUGCUUUGGAGCUGAACAGUCUCUGGCGCAUAAACUGGCUGUGCUAUUGAUCGGCUUGCAAGAUGGUAGGCAAGAAAGCUGGUGGCCCCCCAAGCUCCUUUCAGCUCCAGGGGUUUUCAUUUCAGUGACUCAGGGAGAGGUGGAGCUUGGCUUCAUGGUAGGUUACAGGCCUUUCCAAACCCCACCACAUGUGGGGUGAGGUGAGAAACAGCACAACGCCCACUCUGAGUGGGCACCAUGGAAUCUCUGAGCCUUGAAACGCUUGCUCCUUCUGGAAGGAGAGCUUCAGAGCAAAGUUACUUCCUCCCAGUCCAGCCAGUUCAGUCACAGACAACCUGAGGAGGCUUCCAGCCCUGAGUCACUUGUGCAGCUUCAGCUCCGCUUGAAGUAGAGAUCAAUGGGCACUUACUGGCUGACUCACACCUGGAGCAGCGAUCCAGGUUCUCAGCAAGGGAGAACUCCCCCGUCCCGCCUCAGUGGUUCAAGACUGAAUAUAGGAGGGUAAGACUCUCCUUCCAAAAAGAAAAGCAGCGUCUGUUUUUUGAGAGCUUACGAGAAAUAAACCAGACACUUCUAAGUGCUUUUGUG